CCCAGCUAUAGGCAAUUGCCUAGGUUGCUUUGUACCUAGGCAAGUGUCACAGUGCUGGGAAAAAAGCAGCAAAGGCUGAUGGGCAUCCUGGGCCUGGCUAAUGCCAAAUU
ensembl:snoRNA SNORA74 Small nucleolar RNA SNORA74